rnacentral:rRNA from 1 species
GACGAACGCUGGCGGCGUGCCUAAUACAUGCAAGUCGAGCGGACAGAAGGGAGCUUGCUCCCGGAAGUCAGCGGCGGACGGGUGAGUAACACGUGGGCAACCUGCCCUGCAGAUUGGGAUAACUCCGGGAAACCGGGGCUAAUACCGAAUAACAUUGGAAACCUCAUGGUUUCCUUUUAAAAGGCAGCUUCGGCUGUCCCUGCAGGACGGGCACGCGGCGCAUUAGCUAGUUGGUGAGGUAACGGCUCACCAAGGCGACGAUGCGUAGCCGACCUGAGAGGGUGAUCGGCCACACUGGGACUGAGACACGGCCCAGACUCCUACGGGAGGCAGCAGUAGGGAAUCUUCCGCAAUGGACGAAAGUCUGACGGAGCAACGCCGCGUGAGUGAAGAAGGUUUUCGGAUCGUAAAACUCUGUUGUCAGGGAAGAACAAGUACGGUAGUAACUGCCCGUACCUUGACGGUACCUGGCCAGAAAGCCACGGCUAACUACGUGCCAGCAGCCGCGGUAA